rnacentral:rRNA from 1 species
GACGAACGCUGGCGGCGGGCUUAACACAUGCAUGUCGAACGAGAUGCGCUGGUGCUUGCAUCAGCAUAUCAUCAAGUGGCAAAUGGGUGAGUAACACGUGAGGGAUCUACCCCGAAGACGGGAAUAACCUUGGGAAACCAAGACUAAUACCCGAUACCCCCAUAGAGAUGAGUCUCUAUGAGGAAAUGCUCCGGCGCUUUGGGAGGGCCUCGCGGACUAUCAGCUUGUUGGUAAGGUAAUGGCUUACCAAGGCUAUGACGGUUAGCUGGUCUGAGAGGACGAUCAGCCACACUGGAACUGAGACACGGUCCAGACUCCUACGGGAGGCAGCAGUGGGGAAUCUUGCGCAAUGAGCGAAAGCUUGACGCAGCCACGCCGCGUGAGGGAUGACGGCUUUCGAGUUGUAAACCUCUUUCAGUAGGGAAGAAAAUGACGGUACCUACACAAGAAGCUCCGGCCAACUACGUGCCAGCAGCCGCGGUAAUACGUAGGGAGCAAGCGUUGUCCGGAUUUACUGGGCGUAAAGGGCUCGUAGGCGGUUUGAUAAGUCGGAUGUGAAAACUUUGGGCUCAACCCAAAGACGCCAUUCGAUACUGUCAUGACUAGAGUCUGGUAGAGGAGUGCAGAAUUUCCGGUGUAGCGGUGGAAUGCGUAGAUAUCGGAAGGAAUACCAAUGGGGCGAAGGCAGCACUCUGGGCCAGAACUGACGCUGAGGAGCGAAAGCGUGGGUAGCAAACAGGAUUAGAUACCCUGGUAGUCCACGCUGUAAACGAUGGGUACUAGGUGUGGGAUUUAGUUAAAAAAUUCUGCACCGUAGCUAACGCAUUAAGUACCCCGCCUGGGGAGUACGGCCGCAAGGCUAAAACUCAAAGGAAUUGACGGGGGUCCGCACAAGCGGCGGAGCAUGUUGCUUAAUUCGAGGCAACGCGAAGAACCUUACCUGGGUUUGACAUGUAGGGCUUAGUAGUAGAGAUACUGCUUUUCACAAAAGGAACCCUACACAGGUGGUGCAUGGCUGUCGUCAGCUCGUGUCGUGAGAUGUUGGGUUAAGUCCCGCAACGAGCGCAACCCUUGUCCUAUGUUGCCAGCGCGUAAUGGCGGGGACUCAUGGGAGACUGCCGGGGUCAACUCGGAGGAAGGCGGGGAUGACGUCAAGUCCUCAUGCCCCUUAUGCCCAGGGCUGCAAACAUGCUACAAUGGUCGGUACAACGGGCUGCAACACUGCGAAGUGAAGCGAAUCCCUUAAAACCGAUCUCAGUUCGGAUUGAAGUCUGCAACUCGACUUCAUGAAGCCGGAGUCGCUAGUAAUCCCAGAUCAGCAACGCUGGGGUGAAUAUGUUCCCGGACCUUGUACACACCGCCCGUCACACCACGAAAGUCGGCAACACCCGAAGUCAGUGACCUAACUAAUUUAUUAGAUGGAACUGCCGAAGGUGGGGUUGGUAAUUGGGGUG